rnacentral:rRNA from 1 species
AAACUGGAGAGUUUGAUCCUGGCUCAGAACGAACGCUGGCGGCGUGGAUUAGGCAUGCAAGUCGAACGAUCUCUUUCGCAAGAGGGGGAUAGUGGCAAACGGGUGAGGAACACGUGAGUAAUUUACCAUUAGGUUCAGAAUAACCUGCCGAAAGGUGGACUAAUACUGGAUAAGACUACGAUUCUGAUGAGUUGUAGUUAAAGAGGGGGAUUCUGAAAAUGAACCUCUCGCCUAUUGAUGAGCUCGCGUCCUAUCAGCUUGUUGGUGGGGUAAAGGCCUACCAAGGCGAAGACGGGUAGCUGGUCUGAGAGGAUGGUCAGCCACACUGGGACUGAGA